UACGAAGGGGGGUAGCGUUGCUCGGAAUCACUGGGCGUAAAGGGUGCGUAGGCGGGUCUUUAAGUCAGGGGUGAAAUCCUGGAGCUCAACUCCAGAACUGCCUUUGAUACUGAGGAUCUUGAGUUCGGGAGAGGUGAGUGGAACUGCGAGUGUAGAGGUGAAAUUCGUAGAUAUUCGCAAGAACACCAGUGGCGAAGGCGGCUCACUGGCCCGAUACUGACGCUGAGGCACGAAAGCGUGGGGAGCAAACAGG
rnacentral:rRNA from 1 species